GUUAAUGUAGCUUAGAAAUUUAAAGCGAAGCACUGAAAAUGCUUAGACGGGCCCUUAAAGCCCCAUAAACA
rnacentral:tRNA from 1 species